AACGAACGCUGGCGGCAGGCCUAACACAUGCAAGUCGAACGCUCGUAGCAAUACGAGAGUGGCAGACGGGUGAGUAACACGUGGGAACCUUCCCUAUGGUUCGGAAUAGCUCAGGGAAACUUGGGGUAAUACCGGAUAAGCCCUUCGGGGAAGAUUUAUCGCCAUUGGAUGGGCCCGCGUCGGAUUAGCUAGUUGGUGAGGUAACGGCUCACCAAGGCAACGAUCCGUAGCUGGUCUGAGAGGAUGAUCAGCCACACUGGGACUGAGACACGGCCCAGACUCCUACGGGAGGCAGCAGUGGGGAAUAUUGGACAAUGGGCGCAAGCCUGAUCCAGCCAUGCCGCGUGAGUGACGAAGGUCUUCGAUUGUAAACUCUUUUGGCGGGACGAUAAUGACGUACCCGCAGAAUAAGCCCCGGCUAACUUCGUGCCA
rnacentral:rRNA from 1 species